CUCUACGGCCAUGCCACCCUGAACACUCCUGAUCUCGUCUGAUCUUGGAAGCUAAGCAAGGUUGGGCCUGGUUAGUACUUAGAUGGGAGACCACCUAGGAAGACCAGGUGCUGUAGGCG
rnacentral:rRNA from 1 species